UACAGAGGGGGCAAGCGUUGUUCGGAAUUACUGGGCGUAAAGGGCGCGUAGGCGGCCGCCUAAGUCAGACGUGAAAUCCCUCGGCUCAACCGGGGAACUGCGUCUGAUACUGGGUGGCUUGAGUGCAGGAGAGGAAUGCGGAAUUCCAGGUGUAGCGGUGAAAUGCGUAGAUAUCUGGAGGAACACCGGUGGCGAAGGCGGCAUUCUGGACUGUAACUGACACUGAGGAACGAAAGCCAGGGGAGCAAACGGG
rnacentral:rRNA from 1 species